AUGAACGCUGGCGGCGUGCUUAACACAUGCAAGUCGAGCGAAGCACUAAAGCGGAUUUCUUCGGAUUGAAGGUUUAGUGACUGAGCGGCGGACGGGUGAGUAACGCGUGGGUAACCUGCCUCAUACAGGGGGAUAACAGUUGGAAACGGCUGCUAAUACCGCAUAAGCGCACAGUACCGCAUGGUACGGUGUGAAAAACUCCGGUGGUAUGAGAUGGACCCGCGUCUGAUUAGGUAGUUGGUGGGGUAACGGCCUACCAAGCCGACGAUCAGUAGCCGACCUGAGAGGGUGACCGGCCACAUUGGGACUGAGACACGGCCCAAACUCCUACGGGAGGCAGCAGUGGGGAAUAUUGCACAAUGGGGGAAACCCUGAUGCAGCGACGCCGCGUGAGCGAAGAAGUAUUUCGGUAUGUAAAGCUCUAUCAGC
rnacentral:rRNA from 1 species